rnacentral:rRNA from 1 species
GGGCGUAAAGCGCGCGUAGGCGGUUUUUUAAGUCUGAUGUGAAAGCCCACGGCUCAACCGUGGAGGGUCAUUGGAAACUGGAAAACUUGAGUGCAGAAGAGGAAAGUGGAAUUCCAUGUGUAGCGGUGAAAUGCGCAGAGAUAUGGAGGAACACCAGUGGCGAAGGCGACUUUCUGGUCUGUAACUGACGCUGAUGUGCGAAAGCGUGGGGAUCAAACAGGAUUAGAUACCCUGGUAGUCCACGCCGUAAACGAUGAGUGCUAAGUGUUAGGGGGUUUCCGCCCCUUAGUGCUGCAGCUAACGCAUUAAGCACUCCGCCUGGGGAGUACGACCGCAAGGUGAAACUCAAAGGAAUGACGU